GUCUAACCUGCCCACUGAUUAAUUAAAUGGCCGCAGUAUUCUAACUGUGCAAAGGUAGCAUAAUCAUUAGUCUUUUAAUUGAAGGCUGGAAUGAAUGGUUGAAUGAAAUAUUAACUGUUUCAAUUUAAUUUAUUAUAGAAUUUUAUUUUUUAGUUAAAAAGCUAAAAUUUUUUUAAAAGACGAGAAGACCCUAUAAAUCUUUAUAUUUAUUUUUUAAUUUAUAUAUAGAAAAAUUAAUUUAUUAUAGAAAUAAAUAUUUUAUUGGGGUGAUAUUAAAAUUUUUAUAACUUUUAAUUAAUAAUUUACAUUAAUUAAUGAAUUUUUGAUCCAUUAUUAUGAUUAAAAAAUUAAGUUACUUUAGGGAUAACAGCGUAAUUUUUUUAGAGAGUUCAUAUUGAUAAAAAAGAUUGCGACCUCGAUGUUGGAUUAAGAUAUAGAUUUAGGUGCAGUAGUUUAAAUCUA
rnacentral:rRNA from 1 species